rnacentral:lncRNA from 1 species
AAAAUGGGAAAAAGAUGAAAAUGAAUUUCCUAAACCUCCAAUUUUUAUGAACCGUAUGAAAUCUUGCCACCAUCCAUCAUCUACACAUAUCUCACAGCUGAGCAAUGAAAAUGAGGAAAUGAAAUCAACUUACAAUGAUGACAAUAUCUGGUGUUUCAGUGAGUUUUCCCCUAGUGUCUUCACCUAUCACGACCCAGGAGACGUGGAACUGGAUCUUACUUUCAUAGCUGAUAUAAAUGUGCAAAAAGCUUUAGACUGGCUCAAAAAGAACGUCGAGCCUGCUGUAUUAGCCAUUGAGUACUGGACAGUGACAGCUCAAGAGAGAUUGGCUGAACUGAUGGUUUUAAAAUCAAUUGCAACGCAAGAGUACCUGGUUUUGUACCCACCAUUAAAAAAUCCUGCCAUUGGUAUCCAGCUGCGCUUGUUCAAGGUUUCCACUGAUUUCAAUCACUUGUACGCCACCAAAGCAAACGUAUUCUUGAACGACUGGAGCCCCAUUGCUCAACAAAUUUUGGAUUUGCUCCGACUGAAGAGAGGCAGUAGAUGGCAAGAAAAUAUAGCGUUAGCAGGGAUAAAUAUUUAUGCAACAGACCCUGAAGAAAUAAAGCUAUCUGCUCUGCUUUUGCUGCCCUAUUUUUUCCCAACACCUGGCGAUGUAACUUCAGCAGGAAUAAAAAUCUCUCGUGGGUUCCAUCAAAAUUAGAAUGUGCCAAAGGUUUUAUUCUCAUCACACCUACACUAACCUUACUUGAAGUAGAAAUCAAGAAGCGACAAACGUUUUUUCAAAGUAAGAAAUUGGUACUUCCACCAUUUGUAGCACUGGUCGGACGUGUAGGUAAUUUUGAAGAAUCAAUUGUUGUCAUUGAUAGCAUAAAAUAUUACUUUGAUUCCCCAAUUUCUGCCUUUGACUGGUGUUUUAAAGCACAUUUUGCACUGUAUUACACUUACUCUCCUGAGACUCGUGCUCCUUAUACUUUUAUACAAAAGUAUGUUUAUAAAAUUAAUACUAAACGUGACAGGAAUUACAUUCAAGUAACCUCUUUAGCCAAGCAGCUCAAUCUUUCCUCCAUUUAAUUUUUGCUCAAUUAAUUAGCCUCCAGUUUCUUUUCAAUGUUAUAAUCAUGCCUUCGUGCCCUGAUUGUAAACAAAAUUUCGAACCCAUCAACUCUCUGAUAAAUCAUAUCAACAGUUCCAUUUUAGAUCUGCUUAUGCCGAUCCAAUAAAUUGUGGGGACUGCGGGAAACCAUUCUCUGCAUAUCCUAAUCUUCGUAAGCAUCUUAAAACCUGUCGCAUAAAGGUACAACUUGAAGACCCUAAUCCUUUGCUAAGUGACGCUGUGCAUAAUGCUACCGCGGACGUAGUUGUAUCUCCAAUUGUUGAAAAUAAUCAGUUAAACGCACAAAAUGAUGGAAGUUCAAGAAUAGGAGAUAGUUCCAAAGGCACAACUGCUGAUCCUAUUCAAAUGCUGAAUAAAGAGUGUGCAAACUUCAUUGCAUACUUAUAUUCUCAUGUGUCUUUGCAAAGAAAAAUGAUACAAACGGUAGUUGAAGGUGUUUCAGAAAUUUUUAGCGCUGUAAGAGACAUUUUAGUAGAAAAACUGGAAGAACACUUGACUGAUCAAUCAAUGACAGAUUUAAUGCCUUUUUUGUCCGAAUUAUGUGAUCCAUUUGCCUCUUUAAAGACAGACUUCCUCAGAUUACAACACUUUGAAAAUUUAGGCACGUAUGUAAAACCUCAGAAAUUGAGCUUGGAGAACGAUCGGUACGGAAAAAAAUUAAAAAUAAAGUGCGAAUCAUAUCUAUACCCGUGAAAGCUCAGUAUAUUUCACCGAAAGUAUUCUUUAAGAAAUUUUUUGAUCAGUCUGAUGUUCUCCAGAAAACACUUGAUUUUGAGGGCAGAAUGCUGGCAGAAAGUUCUGUUUUGUCAAAUUUUCUACAAGGUAAACAGUGGCAAGAGUUUUUAAAAGCUGAUAAAAUAAAGGGAAAAAUUUCUUCCUUUCUUCCUCUAUAUGGAUGAAUUGGAAACAGGAAACGCUCUAGGGUCACAUUCAGGAGUUCACAAGUUGGGGUGUGUUUACAUAUAUAUGCCAUGCAUUCCACCAGAAUUUCGUUCCACUUUGAAAUGUAUCUUCUUAUGUAUGUUAUUCCAUGCUAACGACAGAAAGCAAUUUGGAAAUGAAAAGUUGUUCAAAACUUAAUUGAGGAUUUUAACAGUUUAUCAAGAGAGGGUCUUAUUUUUGAAAAUAAAGCUUACUCCGGGAAAAUUUACUUCCAGCUUGCCAUGCUUACAGGGGACAUUUGGGCAUUCACCAAAUAACCGGGUUUACAGAGUCAUUUUCUGCAAAUCACCCAUGCUCAGUUUGUUCAAUUCAUAAAAAAGAUUUACAUUUGCAAACUGUUGAAGAUGAAAAACUAAUUCGAACGAGAGAAUCCUACGACAAAGAUCUCCAAAAAAAUGACUUAUCAGAAACUGGUAUUAGGGAAAAAUGCAUUUGGCAUGAAGUAGAUGGUUUUUGCAUAACUACUUCCCUGGGUUCGGACUGGAUGCACGAUAUUUUGUUAGGUACGGCUCAUUACGAUUUCUCUGUUAUACUCUAUAACUUGAUUUACGUCGAAAAGUACUUUGAUGUUCAGGAUUUCAACUUAAUUUUACAGAACUUUAAAUACGGCCCGGAUGAAAAUAAACCUCCCCCUCAACUCGAAAAAAAUUUGCAUGAUAAGAAAGGUCUUCGAAUGACAGCAGCCGAGACAUUAACACUUAUUAAAUAUUUGGUGUUAUGUUUUCUAGUUUUAUAAAGGACCCAAAUAAUGAAACUUGGCAACUUUAUUUAUCUUUAAGAGCGAUUGUUUCUAUACUAAUGUCUCCCUCCGUGCAAAAAGGUUGUGCAGAGUUACUGAAAAGUUAUGUAAAAGUCAUAACGAUUUAUACAUGAAAUGCUCUAACCAGUUGCUAAAAAAUAAGUUUCAUCAUUUAGUACAUUAUCCCAGGUUCCUUAUUUUGUUUGCCAAUAUGUGUGAUCUGUAUGUUAUGCGCCAAGAAGGCAAACAUCAAGUCACGAAAUUUAUUACUUCCUCUGUCCGCACGCGUAAAAACAUUUGUAAAACUGGAACCAUCAGACACCAAUUGCUAUUCAGCUGGCUUUUGAUGUCGAACAGUUUUUUUUCCGAGAACCUAGAGUUCGGUGCAGGUAAAAUUUUUAGGAUUGAGCAAUACAUAAAUUAUAAUGCACUGAAUGUACCCAAUGAGAAAAAAAUUUUCCUGAAUGUCCAGUAUUCAAAAUUUUUGGCACCAAGUAUAGGCGUAACGAUGUUGUUUAUUAUGAUUUUAAAGAAACUCGUCCAAAAUUUGCUUUGAUCGAGAAAAUUCUCAUUUUUAACCAAACUUCUGUGCAUUUUAUUGCCAAAAAAUUGAGAACGGCUUAUUAUGAUGAUCACUCUGCUGCUUUUUGUGUUGAGAAAAAAAAAUCAGAAAUAUUCUUAAAUCAAUGUGAUUUAAUUAUGCCCAAACCUCUACCACUCCUCACCGGCAAUGAUGGUCUAACUUAUGUUGCAAGUUUUGGUAUUCUUGAGUAAAAUCUUUAGUUCAUAAGCACAGAUGAUUCUCUCUUUGUCUACUCCUGUGUUUUAUGCAAGUGAAAGUUUUAUUAUGAAUCUUCAUUUCUAAGUAAUGAGAUUUUUGUAAAUUCCGAUUGCGAAAAAUGUUCAAUUUAUUUAAGUAUUUCUAAUUAUUCUCCAUAUUAAUUCAAUUUAAUCUAAUCAAGUAUCGAUAAUACAUUUUUUUCCACGAAAUAGUUUGUUAUUUACUUUUGGUGUAAACCCUAUGUUUUUCUCCUCUAUUUUUCAUCAUAAUAAACAUGAUGAAGAAUUUCCAAAUGAAGGAAGAUACAGUUACUCAGGAUUAAUGACUUUCAGACACUCGCUUGCAUUGAAACAUUAUUUACUUUGAAGUCUUUUCCUGUUUUUCUAUAAAAAGAACGAAAAUUAGCAUUAUUUAUCUAACUGUUUGUCGAUUUUCUUCCUUGUUUAUAGAAAACUUGCCAGUUAUUUCAAUAAUUAAUAUGUUUUUCUCUCCUUUUGAAAAAAUGCAAUUUUGCAUCGUUGUAAUGUAACUUUCUGUCAUUUAUCUCAAGUCAUUACAACAUAUCUAAAAAGUGAUACCAUUUUCACAAAUUUUUCUCAGUUGCGAAAAAAAUUGAAAAUAGAUUAGUAAUCUCUCCAACAUAAAAUACAUGUUGUAUUAAUUUCGUUAGACAACCCACCAGUUUUACGCAAUCUAAAGGUUCGAGUUUUUCUGUUUCAAAUAUCACAAGCAAUAUUUUCAUUUUAAUACUAAAACUUCGUAAAAAUUACCUUAAAAAGAAUGUAUUCUAUUGUUUGUCAAACUUUACAUGUCUGCGGGUAGA